rnacentral:rRNA from 1 species
CGAUAACGAACGAGACCUUAACCUGCUAAAUAGUUAGGUCAACGAUUGUUGAUCGUCAACUUCUUAGAGGGACUAUUGACUAUUAGUCAAUGGAAGUUUGAGGCAAUAACAGGUCUGUGAUGCCCUUAGAUGUUCUGGGCCGCACGCGCGCUACACUGAUCAAGUCAACGAGUUUACAACCUUGGCCGGAAGGUCUGGGUAAUCUUUUGAAACUUGAUCGUGCUGGGGAUAGUCCAUUGCAAUUAUUGGACUUCAACGAGGAAUUCCUAGUAAGCGUGAGUCAUCAGCUCGCGUUGAUUACGUCCCUGCCCUUUGUACACACCGCCCGUCGCUACUACCGAUUAAAUGGCU